UACAGAGGGUGCAAGCGUUAUCCGGAAUUACUGGGCGUAAAGGGCGUGUAGGUGGUUUGUUAAGUUCGAUGUUAAAGCGUGAGGCUCAACCUCAUAAUGGCGUUGAAUACUGGCAAGCUAGACGACUGGAGAGGAAAGCAGAAUUACCAGUGUAGCGGUGAAAUGCGUAGAUACUGGUAGGAAUACCCAUUGCGAAGGCAGCUUUCUGGACAGUUUGUGACACUCAGACGCGAAAGUGUGGGGAGCAAACCGG
rnacentral:rRNA from 1 species